CAAAUCAAAUACUGGGCCCCCUUCAGCUAUUUAAAAAUGAUUAGUGUGGCUGGCAGCCUUACAAGACUUGGGGGACAGGCUUGCUGGGGAGAACAUUCUGAAGCAGUGGGAAUUUUUACAGUUCAAGGAAGUAAUCCUGUUAGGCAAGAUCAGGAAAUACCGUAGUAACUGAGGUAGAGCUCAAGGCAAUGCCAUUUUUGUGAUUUUCUAGGAACAGUGGGUCUUCCCCUCCUCUCCCCAUAGUGAGGUCUCUCUCUGCCCUUGGUCUGGAGAGCACAUGGCAUUUAAAGGUCAACGGCCCUACCCAGUGGCAUAGGAAUCCUCUCCAUGAGGCACAUUGUCAGCCCUUUGCCAAAACACUCUGGCUUCCCAAUUCUCCUCCCUUUUUGCACCCCUCUGCUGGACACCAGGCUUUAUGCUACUUCCAUAAAUGGGAAAACUCUGUCUUCAACAAUAAGGAGGAAAAUGUCCUCCAAAACCAAAUUUUAGUCUCAAUACUGUCCCAUCAGCAGGAAAAUAGCCAUUUGGUUCCUAUGUUUUUUUUAAGGCACCUAUUCUGCUUGUAAUUAAAAUAGUACUUAAAUAGUAAGGGUAAUUUAAGUCCGGAAGUUAACUGGAACCAUUCUCUAAGGGUACUUUAGCACGAGUCAUAAUAGCAGGAUAUAGAGCUCAAACCAGCACACUUCCUCCAUUAUGGAGGGAAAUACAACAGUUGCCUAAAUGCAACUGUUACAUAGUCUCUCCCAAGAUCCAUUUUUCAGGGAGCCACACAGGUCACACAAGUCUUGGAAGUCAAAAGGAAAUCAUAAGUGCAGGACUAGAGUCACAUGGGUAAGCAUGACUAACCCCAAUCACUUAGUUCCUCUGGUUCCAUGGCUGGGGGUCACACCUGCAACCAUGGGAGGCAUGUUUAACAAGAUGCUGGGACCCAGGAACCAAGGAGGGAAAACAGUAGGGGUGGCGCCCUCACUGUCUUCCCCUUCCCCUCCUCUGGAGUGCGUUCUGAAGCACUGGGACUCCUUUGACUCUGAGAUUUGGAAGAAAAAACAGCUCAUUUUCUUUUGCACAAGAGCAUGGCCUUCUUACUAGACCUUUGCAAGCAUUGCACAAUGGACUCAGCUCUUUCAGCAGUCAUAUCAGACAGGCCCAAAGGGAAUGAUUCCCCAAAACUAGAGAAACAAACUCCCAGGAACCCCUCAAAUGAAACUUCCAGAUGCCCUGGCCCUUCCUCCCUCCCUUUCACAUUGUCAGCUUCUCCAAUUCUACCACCCAAACCCCCAGACUUUUCUAUGGUAUUUUUCCUUCCUUCAUUCAUGAUUUAAAAUGGCUCCUAUCUCUUCUUCUAUAAUGUUCCUCCAAACUGGGAGAAGUUAAUUUCCUCAAACCUUAAAAUGCUUGGCUUAGGGUUGAGCUCGGGGAACAGAACCCAGAAGCCUGACAUGCUGUCAAAAGGGUAAAAAUUUUUAUUUUUAUUUUUAUUUAUUUAUUUUUUUUGAGACAGAGUCUCGCUCUGUUGUCCAGGCUGGAAUGCAGUGGUGCAAUCUCAACUCACUGCAGCCUCUGCCUCCCUGGUUCAAGUGAUUCUCCUGCCUCAGCCUCCUGAGUAGCUGGGACUACAGGCACGUGCCACCACACCCAGCUUGCUCCAUCAACACUGAAUAUUAGUGAUUGAGUUGUUGCCACUACUGGCACUCAGAAAAUUAUCCAGCUGUGGUGGUGUGCACCUGUAGUCCCAGCUACUCCAGAGGCUGAAGUAGGAGGAUCUCUUGAGCUCAGGAGGAGGUCAAGGCUGCAGUGAGCCAAGACCAUGCCACUGCACUACAGCCUGGGUGACAGAGCAAGACCCUGUCCCCCACCCCCCCCCCCAAAAAAAAACAAACAACAACAACAAAGAAAUAUAUUGAAAUAACUGGUAUCUUCAAUACAAUGUUGAAUAAGAGUGGACAUCAUUGGUUCCCAAUCUUAGGGCAAAACUUUCUGAUUUCAUCAUUAAGUAUAUUAGCUGUAGGUGUUUUGUGUAUGCCCUUUAAAAAUUAUUUUAUUUUUUGUAGAGAAGGGUCUUGCUAUGUUGCCCACACUGGUCUUGAACUCCUAGGCUCAAGCAAUCCGCCCAUCUUGUCCUCCCAAAGUCUGGGAUUAUAGGCAUGAGCUACUGCUCCUGGCCUAUGGAUGCCCUUUAUCAGUUUCAGGAAUUCCCUUCUAUUCCUAAUUGGCUGAGAGGUUUAUUUUCCUUUCAUGAAUAGGUAUUAAAUUUUGUCAAAUGCUUUUUCUGCAUCUAUUGAGAUGGUGAUAUGGGUUUUGUCUUAUAGCCUGUUAGUAUAGUAAAUUAUAUUGAUUGAUUUUAAAAUAUUAAGCCAACCUUGUAUUCCUGGGAUGAAACUAACUUGGUCAUGGUGCAUUAUUGUUUGUAUUUACUACUGUAUUCAUUUUGCUAAAUUUUAAAAGGAUUUUUGAAAAAAAUAAAGAGGAUUUUGUGUCUAGAUCCAUGAA